rnacentral:rRNA from 1 species
UACGUAGGGUGCAAGCGUUGUCCGGAAUUACUGGGCGUAAAGAGCUCGUAGGUGGUUUGUCGCGUUGUUCGUGAAAACCGGGGGCUUAACCCUCGGCGUGCGGGCGAUACGGGCAGACUUGAGUACUGCAGGGGAGACUGGAAUUCCUGGUGUAGCGGUGGAAUGCGCAGAUAUCAGGAGGAACACCGGUGGCGAAGGCGGGUCUCUGGGCAGUAACUGAUGCUGAGGAGCGAAAGCGUGGGGAGCGAACAGG